UUUUUCAGGAUAGUUUUUGAAAAUGAUUUAUAUUAUUUAAGAACUAAUCAAUACCACUAAAAUUAAUGGAAUCCUCGCCCGAAAGAGAUAGUCCUACUACGGGCACACUGCCGCCUGUAAUUUGUGCCAAUUUACGAGAAAAGAUACUUCCUGAAGAGAUACCAGCCAUCGAAAUUACCAAAGUUCGCAAAGAAAAAUCGAGAGCUGAUGUUUUGGAGCCAGUGUCAGCAAUACCGAAACCAGUUCCUUCCCACCCUUUGACGCUAGCGUGGUCUCCUCAAGAGUUGCUGUUCGAAAUCAAUGAAGAAGCGAUCGUCCAAAGGUUAUGGAUUUGGAAUAGCUGCUUGCGUUCAAUCUACAUCCACUGCUGCGAGCUCUGGGAUGAAACAGCGUACCUCGGAGCGCGGUGGCGUUGCUACCCACAAACCAGGUUCCUCCUAGCGCCAGGUCUGACGGCCGAGCUGUUCCUUCGAGCGUCCCCUAAGGCUGUCUCGCCCAUACCCUGUGCAAAGGCAAAUUUGCAGCUGGCAGCGGCGCAUAAGCGCGACCACGUCACUGGAUACUUUGCAGUCCCUGUCAAUGUGAAGUUUCUAAACCACAUCCCAUAUUCGGGAGAAGGUGGCGAAGGAUGA